ensembl:lncRNA
UGCAGAACGAUUGAAAGGAUUUUCAUAGUUAGUCGCAAAUGAAACCGAAGGAGGUCUGCUGUUGUUCUUGGUGCCAGAUUCCUCUCCAAUGUGGACAAGGCUCACUGUGGGAUUAUCUCAUGAUUGCCCAAAACAAUCAAACCCAGGCUGUGGGGGCUGCAUACUGAAGUGGGGCUGCACUGAUCAUCAUCAUCAUUAUAACCUUGAAAGACCUUCACCGGCAGAGAGAAGAGAGUCGAGAGGGCCUCCGAG